rnacentral:rRNA from 1 species
AUCGAACGCUGGCGGCAGGCCUAACACAUGCAAGUCGAGCGAGCGGCGGACGGGCGAGUAAUGUAUGGGGACCUGCCCGACAGAGGGGGAUAACUACUGGAAACGGUAGCUAAUAUCGCAUACCAUCGGAUGUGCCCAGUGGGGAGUAGCUAGUAGGUGGGGUAAAGGCUCACCUAGGCGACGAUCCCUAGCUGGUCUGAGAGGAUGACCAGCCACACGGGAACGUGGAACCGGUCUGGACGCCUACGGUGGGCAGCAGUGGGGAAUAUUGCACAUUGGGCGCAAGCCGGAUGCAGCCAUGCCGCGUGUAUGAAGAAGGCCUUCGGGUUGUAAAGUACUUUCAGCGGGGAGGCGUUACCCGCCGAAGAAGCACCGGCUAACUCCGUGCCAGCAGCCGCGGUAAUUC